ensembl:lincRNA Gm42524 predicted gene 42524
UAUAUCUCCUGAAGCUCUGAGAGACUUUGAAAUCACCUCCCUGACCCAAAAGGAGACUGGCACCAACAAGCAUCAAACUGUUAUGGAUAAAGGAGCCAACUUAGAAACCUGACAGGUGAGUUUAUGCCACAUGUGUGAAGAUAUCCAUGGGGCCUUUCCAGACUGAGUUGGAUUUUCUGGAAUUGAAAUUGAAGGCAGUUAUGAGCUGGGAACUGAACUCUUAUCUACUGGAAGAGCAACACUCACUCUUAACUACUGAACCAUCAAUCUCACCGGCACCAUGAAAUCCAGUUAAAUAAUAUCAAAUAUUGAUUAUCUUCUCUGCUUCAGUGUAACUUGAAAUUCUCUGUCACCCACAGCAGUCAAGGCCAGCUUAAAAUGUUGCUUUUAGUUCUUUACUCUAGAGAAACUCUGCACUUUUAUCCAAAUUCAUUCUACUUAGUGGCAUUUGCAGAUUGGUUUUUCCCAAGUAGUCAUUGAUCAAAACCAUACCAAAGUGAUUUUCUAGUCUCCUUCUGUUUCUACAUCAGAUCCCAGGGCCCAGAAGCCUGUCUCACACUCUUGGAUAUUUUUUUAUUUUUAUUUUUAAGCAGUUAUAAAGUAUCUUUAAAAAACCUCAAAGAUCCACAUAGAUGGUAUUGUGUUUGUUAUACCAUUUGCUUUUCAAAACCCUGUCUGUGCUUUCAUUUCACCGAAAAAGCAAAGUCAAAUGCUUUUUACACUGUCACUUAAGUAGUAAUAGUAUUUUGGGGACCUGUCCUCUCAAAUUUCCUAUUGAACAAGCCCUUUCCCAAGCAUCAGAUCACUGGCUCAUGCAAUGAGAAGUUAUCCCUUAGAUCAUAAAACUCAGUGAUAAUAGUAGAAAAUAAUAAAGCAAAGUAUUGAUUGAUGCUGUAGGUUUUUUGCAUACCUUCCUUUCUACCCAAAGCAAUGUGUUUUUAGCAAGGCAAUGAUACAGUUUAAAGACUGAUAGAGCAUAUCACCAAGAAAUUUGCCAGUAGGUCUCUCUCAAGAAGCAAUCAGAACAGAUUGUUACCAGGACAUCUUAAGCAUAAGAAGUGGCCAAUGCUAUUAUUCCUUAUUCUUCCUAAAUUUCAUUAAGCCUCAAAUCCAAUCAGCCACUUGGCUAAUGGUGAAGAGUCACCUCAGGACAACUGGGAAACAUGGUUCACCUUACUUGAGUAUUCCCUGUGCCUCGGAAAGUCCUUAUCAGUGUUCCUGCUCUCAGAGUAAAUAAAUACUACCAGGGGGUAGAGAGAUGGCUUAGUGGUUAAAAGCACUUGCUGAUCUUCCAGAAUACCUGAAUUUGGUUCUCACCACCCACAUUGGAUGUUAAUAACUCCAGCUUCAUGUGAGCACACACCCCUUUCUGUACUUAGAGGGCACCCUUACACACAUGCAUGCUCAGAGACUCUCACACAUACACAAUAAUCAGAAAAAUAAAUCUUCAAGAUAUAUUUCUGUAGACAUUUUGUAUGAAACCUUAUUUACUCCUGCUUCGGUUUCUGUUUCCUGGUAAGCUUACCUGUUGUGAUUACAAAGUCAGUUCUAUUUUUUUCCUAGGGAUUUUCUUGCAGAUCUGUCACCUGCCUCUUGCCUCUUGUAUUUCCUCAGAGACCUCACUUCUUUACUUGUGCUUCGGAAGAGAGCCAAACCUCUGUGAAAGGAGAAAAUUUCUCUAUUAGUUACCUUAUGCUACACAACAGAAUACCAAAGACUUGGUGGCUGAACAAACACAUUUGCUUUGUCACAGUCUUGGAGGCUAGAAGUCAAGAUCAGGAUGCCAGCACAGUCUUCCAAGACCUCGUGAUGUAUGGCUGACCUCCUUUCCCACAGAUCAUCAGGUUUCCCUCCCUGUGUGACUUCACCCUAAUCACCAAAGUUGUGAGCACAUUAUUCCAGUUGGUUUAGGGCUCUAUUCAUCAGGCCUCAGUUUACCCUAAUGACUUCUUUGGAAGCCCAUUUCUCAUGUCACAUUUUAAGGGACUGAGUUUGGGAUUUUUAAUAUGAGAAUUUUGGAGGAAUCCAAUGCAGCCUCUAACACCAUAGCAUGCUGGACCUGAGAAUGUCAUAAUGUAUAAUAUGUAUCAGAUUGUCUGAUUGUCUUGGUAAAAAUACUUUGCUUAGUUUUGUCUCUAAUAAAGGUUUUUGGAUUUUUGUCUGUGCCACUAAAUCAACUUCCAUGGGGGAACAUGUUAUAAUAAAUAAACUUUG